rnacentral:rRNA from 1 species
GAUGAACGCUGGCGGCGUGCCUAAUACAUGCAAGUCGAGCGAACAGAUGAGGAGCUUGCUCCUCUGACGUUAGCGGCGGACGGGUGAGUAACACGUGGAUAACCUACCUAUAAGACUGGGAUAACUUCGGGAAACCGGAGCUAAUACCGGAUAAUAUAUUGAACCGCAUGGUUCAAUAGUGAAAGACGGUUUUGCUGUCACUUAUAGAUGGAUCCGCGCCGCAUUAGCUAGUUGGUAAGGUAACGGCUUACCAAGGCAACGAUGCGUAGCCGACCUGAGAGGGUGAUCGGCCACACUGGAACUGAAACACGGUCCAGACUCCUACGGGAGGCAGCAGUAGGGAAUCUUCCGCAAAGGGCGAAAGCCUGACGGAGCAACGCCGCGUGAGUGAUGAAGGUCUUCGGAUCGUAAAACUCUGUUAUUAGGGAAGAACAAAUGUGUAAGUAACUAUGCACGUCUUGACGGUACCUAAUCAGAAAGCCACGGCUAACUACGUG